CCCUUAGAUGUUCUGGGCUGCACGCGCGCUACACUGAUGCGCUCAACGAGUUUUAACCUUGCCUGGAAAGGUUGGGUAAUCUUUUUAAAACGCAUCGUGAUGGGGAUAGAUUAUUGCAAUUAUUAAUCUUCAACGAGGAAUUCCUAGUAAGCGCGAGUCAUCAGCUCGUGCUGAUUACGUCCCUGCCCUUUGUACACACCGCCCGUCGCUCCUACCGAUUGAGUGCUCCGGUGAAUAAUUCGGACUGCGGCAUUGACCGGUUCCCGAUCGUUGCUGCGGAAAGUUUAGUGAACCUUAUCACUUAGAGGAAGGAGAAGUCGUAACA
rnacentral:rRNA from 1 species